rnacentral:lncRNA from 1 species
CUUUGGUCUCUUGGCUCCUUCCCAGUUUGCAGGGGAUGUUACCAUCCCAAGUUCUUCCUGUAACAAAUAUGCAUUCAGAAUGGCUCUCUGAAUGGCAUGUGACUAUGCAAUUUAUACAAGCUGGGGAGUUAGCCAUGAAGAGACCAAGUGGUACAUUUCUUUAAUGAAAUCACACACGACUAGGAUCAGUGUUAUAUGCUAGCUCUGGUUCUCUCUGAAUGAUGUCCAAGGACUCUGCCUGAACUUGUUAGUGAAAGAUGAGCCAAAGACAGGGAGGGAAUGAGUCAGGGAGCGUACAUCCACUUCCCACAAGGCUUCCAUCAAUGGCACCAUGCAUGGGACUGUAAGAUUGAGCCAACUUGCUGAGAUAAAAAAUAACUUCAUCGUGAUCCCUUAGGAGACAGGACUAAAAAUAGAGAUGCCCUCUGUGGCUUGAAUGAGAAGUGCCUGGAGAAGGAAAGGCACCAGCAUGCCUGGUGGGGGUUGCUUCUCUGUGCAUCUUCAUGUAAAACAUCAGGGGCUUCCAGUUUUCUGACCCUUUAAGGAGUUUUUUGACCCUUACUCUCACAAGGACAAAAUUGGAGACACUGGUUAUUUUCCCCAAGGCUUUGAAUGAAUGACAUGCUUUCGGAUACAAACAGACUCCUUUAAGAAAUCAAUGUUAACUUAGAGAGCCAAUAAAAUCCCCUUGGGAAAAGUGGACCCACAUCUUGUCUACACAAUCCCUGUGCAGGCUUUCUCACCUGUGGAACGCCUGACUGGUAUGAGAAAAAUGCCUCAACUAAGCCUGUGUACAACUUCAGCAAACACACUGUGCUUGCAGCCCCUCCCAAGUGCUGGCAGGCCACUGAGCAUGCAGACAGCCUACCCCAAAAGAAGUAACGGGGAGAAGUAACACAACCCCAGAAGCAUCUCAAUACAUAAAACUUCAAGUUAAAGAUCAAACAGCACACUUGAAUCUCUCAAGUCACCUGCUUGGCUCUCUUCUAAGUGUACCUUACUUUCUUUUGUUCCUGCUCUAAAACUUUUUAAUAAACUU